rnacentral:lncRNA from 1 species
GCACGGCGGGUAUAGUGGUUCCGCAACCUUGGGAUGUUCGGCCGAGCGCCUGCCUAACCCUCCUGACUGGAGGGUCAGCGGCGGGGAGUCCUGGCCUUCAAUCGGCCAUCGCCACGGCAGAAACUGGGGCCCGGGCCUUCCCCGUCCGUCCACAGGUCUCAUGGGCGCCCGGACUGGGGCUGAUGUAGUUUCCCGACCUCUGACACAUAGAAUCUGGAGAUUAAAGCUGCUCUGCUAAUAAUUAGGUUCCCACCUCUCAAGAUCAUUAGGAGCUUCUUUUCCAAUUUCUCUGUUUUGCAUGCAUUGGAAGGAAAAUGGUGACGCCGAGGGUGACUGAUUUCCAGGUUUACAUCGGUUGCCCCAGGGGAAGUGCCUGGCCCCCAUCUGGUCCUUGCUGCUCUAACUUUGCCCUGUUAAUUGAAGAAAUGCAGGAUCUGGAGCUCAGGACCCACUACCUCCCCGGCCCACUGCAAGCUUGAACAUUUGAUGGUGGACACCCCUCCCUGACUUUGUAUUAUGGUCCAGAUUUUGGAUGAAUCUCUAUAAUGGAGAUUGAACAGGUAAGGCUCACCUUUCAAUAGUUACACCAAGAAAGGCCUAGGUGGUGACUUAAGCUAUGGUUUUGGGCAGCACGAGAGUGGUCAGGUGGACAGUAGGGAAGUCUACAUGUAACCCAAACGGAAAAGAGAAAAGGCCCCUGAGAAAUCAGGGCAAAGUCCCACAGUGUCUCUUUCCCCAUAGUGUCACUGGCGUGGGGGUUACCUUCCCACUAUGUCCCCCAGAAGACAUGAGGCCACAGACUGCAGUGCCCGUGGACAGAGGAGCUGUGGGGAUGGAAGUGUGAUUGCUUCAUUCAAAUGCACGCCCCGGUGCGUGUGCGUCUCUUCUGAUGCAGCGCCCCAUGGCUGAAUAGUUCUGUAUGUCAGCUCAGCACCCCUAGCGUCAGCCAUGCUAGUCUCCUGCUGUGCAUAGAUGGGGGCCUGUCCCCCUGCUGAAUCUCCUGGGUUCCUGCUGUCAACACCUGAAGGCCCCUGGAUCCUCCUGGAAUCCGUGAUCCCUGUUGCUCCCUGGCGGAGUUUUCUAGUCCCUCUUACUUGAAGCAUGUCUUUCAGAGCCCGGCACCACCCAAGUUGGGUAUCUGCUACACCUCUAUGGUAUUUUUUCUCCUUACAUCGGACCUUCCUCCCUUACUGGACUUCAGUGUGGGACGUGCAGGUCUCAGGCCUUCUGGGAAGUCCCAGCUUUUCUUGAAUGUUCUCUCUCUCUGGCCAGCUCAGGCUGGAACAGUGGGUGUUGGUGCCAUCCUGUGGCUAUAGGUGAUAAGCCGGCUGUUCUUCAUUGACCCAGUCUUACCUUGAACCCUGGAGUUCUCACAUGCAUGGAUUUAAAUGCUGUGUCUUUCUAAGGGCACAUUAUGGCCAUUUUCCUUAUCUCCCUCCCAAGGGGCUGUUUCCUGUGUUUAUUGACUCCCUGUUUAAAAAAAAAUAUAUGUAGACAAAUUGGAUUGCACCCCAUAAACUGCAUGUUUUAAAAAUACUUCAAAGAAUAGUUUUUCAUUUUUUUCUUGCUGAUUUUUAUGUAUCUUCUAAAUUGUAUAUAAUUAUGGGGUAUAAAAUGAUGUUGUGAUUUUUCAAUACAGUGUGGAAUGAGAAUCAAAUUAACCUA